CCUACGCGUGUCAGCAGUCGAGAAUCAUUCACAAUGGGGGAAACCCUGAUGGUGCGACGCCGCGUGGGGGAAUUAAGGUCUUCGGAUUGUAAACCCCUGUCAUGUGGGAGCAAAUUAAAAAGAUAGUACCACAAGAGGAAGAGACGGCUAACUCUGUGCCAGCAGCCGUGGUAAUACAGAGGUCUCAAGCGUUGUUCGGAACCACUGGGCGUAAAGGGUGCGUAGGCUGUUUCGUGAGUCGUGUGUGAAAGGCGCGGGCUCAACCCGCGGACGGAACAUGAUACUGCGAGACUAGAGUAAUGGAGGGGGAACCGGAAUUCGCGGUGUAGCAGUGAAAUGCGUAGAUAUCGGGAGGAACACUCGUGGCGAAGGCGGGUUCCUGGACAUUAACUGACGCUGAGGCACGAAGGCCAGGGGAGCGAAAGGGAUUAGAUACCCCAGUAGUC
rnacentral:rRNA from 1 species